UUUCCGUAGGUGAACCUGCGGAAGGAUCAUUAGUGAAUUAUAGGGCGUCUACUUGUAGAGCCUGACCUCCACUUCUAACACUGUGCACUUGAUGGAAAGGUAAUCCGAUUGAGCCUUCGGGCUUAUGAAGAGAACCUUUCGGCUUCAUUUUAAACAUUAGUCAAAGUAUGUAAAGAAAUUUAAAACAAAAAAAAACUUUCAACAACGGAUCUCUUGGCUCUCGCAUCGAUGAAGAACGCAGCGAAAUGUGAUAAGUAAUGUGAAUUGCAGAAUUCAGUGAAUCAUCGAAUCUUUGAACGCACCUUGCGCUCCCUGGUAUUCCGGGGAGCAUGCCUGUUUGAGUGUCAUGAACUCUUCAACCCACCAGUUUCUAGUAGACUGCGUUGGUGUUUGGAUUUUGAGCGUUGCUAGUCUGACUAGCUCGUUCGUAAUACUUUAGCAUCUCUAAUUCGAAUUCGGAUUGACUCAGUGUAAUAGACUAUUCGCUGAGGACCCCUUUAUUGGUGGCCGUACUAGAACCAGUAGAAGCUUCCAACUAUUGUAGUCAACUUUAAUUUAGACCUCAGAUCAGGCAGGAUUACCCGCUGAACUUAAGCAUAUCAAUAG
rnacentral:rRNA from 1 species